rnacentral:rRNA from 1 species
GACGAACGCUGGCGGCGCGCUUUACGCAUGCAAGUCGCACGGACCUUCGGUUAGUGGCGGACGGCUGAGUAACGCGUAGGCAAUCUGCCCAGUGGUGGGGGAUAACCUGUCGAAAGGCGGGCUAAGACCGCAUGUGCUCACCGGGUGAAACUCCCGGUGUGGAAAACAGCAAUGUGCCACUGGAGGAGCCUGCGUCCUAUCAGGUAGUUGGUGGGGUAACGGCCUACCAAGCCGAUGACGGGUAGCUGGUCUGAGAGGUCGACCAGCCAGAAGGGGACUGAGACACGGCCCCUACUCCUACGGGAGGCAGCAGCGAGGAAUCUUGGGCAAUGGGCGAAAGCCUGACCCAGCGACGCCGCGUGA